rnacentral:rRNA from 1 species
AUGAUUCAACCUCAGACCCUUUUAAAUGUAGCAGAUAAUAGUGGAGCUCGAAAAUUGAUGUGUAUUCGAGUCAUAGGAGCUGCUGGUAAUCAGCGAUAUGCUCGUAUUGGUGAUGUUAUUGUUGCUGUAAUCAAAGACGCAUUGCCCCAAAUGCCUCUAGAAAGAUCCGAAGUAAUUCGAGCUGUAAUUGUACGUACAUGUAAAGAGUUCAAAUGCGAAGACGGUAUAAUAAUCCGCGUGGGUGUUGUUGUUGUUCUGGAACUCUUUAUGUGUGAAAUAUCUAGGAAAAUUUUGCAUCGGUGCACUGUGUAUAAUGAAGAGAUCUCGAGCAGACUGAAACCUAUGGACUAA